GAGGUUAGCUCAGCGGAAAGAGCACCAGACCGUUACUCUGGCCGUCGCGGGUUCGACUCCCGCACCAACA
rnacentral:tRNA from 1 species